AUGCUUGCUUUGGCAGCAUGUAUUCUAAAGUUAAAAUAAUACAGAGAAGAUUAGUCUGGCCUUGUAUAAGGUAAAUGGGCAAAUUCACAAAGUAUUGCAUAUUUUU